UGAACGCUGGCGGUAGGCCUAACACAUGCAAGUCGAACGGCAGCACAGUAAGAGCUUGCUCUUACGGGUGGCGAGUGGCGGACGGGUGAGGAAUACAUCGGAAUCUACUUUUUCGUGGGGGAUAACGUAGGGAAACUUACGCUAAUACCGCAUACGACCUACGGGUGAAAGCAGGGGAUCUUCGGACCUUGCGCGAUUGAAUGAGCCGAUGUCGGAUUAGCUAGUUGGCGGGGUAAAGGCCCACCAAGGCGACGAUCCGUAGCUGGUCUGAGAGGAUGAGCAGCCACACUGGAACUGAGACACGGUCCAGACUCCUACGGGAGGCAGCAGUGGGGAAUAUUGGACAAUGGGCGCAAGCCUGAUCCAGCCAUACCGCGUGGGUGAAGAAGGCCUUCGGGUUGUAAAGCCCUUUUGUUGGGAAAGAAAAGCAGCAGGUUAAUACCCCGCUGUUCUGACGGUACCCAAAGAAUAAGCACCGGCUAACUUCGUG
rnacentral:rRNA from 1 species